GCCGGGAUGGCGGAAUUGGCAGACGCGCCAGGUUGAGGGCCUGGUGACCCUAAUACGGUCUUUCGGGUUCAAGUCCCGAUCCCGGCACCA
rnacentral:tRNA from 1 species